GACGAACGCUGGCGGCGUGCUUAACACAUGCAAGUCGAACGGAAAGGCCCUGCUUUUGUGGGGUGCUCGAGUGGCGAACGGGUGAGUAACACGUGAGUAACCUGCCCUUGACUUUGGGAUAACUUCAGGAAACUGGGGCUAAUACCGGAUAGGAGCUCCUGCUGCAUGGUGGGGGUUGGAAAGUUUCGGCGGUUGGGGAUGGACUCGCGGCUUAUCAGCUUGUUGGUGGGGUAGUGGCUUACCAAGGCUUUGACGGGUAGCCGGCCUGAGAGGGUGACCGGCCACAUUGGGACUGAGACACGGCCCAGACUCCUACGGGAGGCAGCAGUGGGGAAUAUUGCACAAUGGGCGGAAGCCUGAUGCAGCAACGCCGCGUGCGGGAUGACGGCCUUCGGGUUGUAAUCCGCUUUCGCCUGUGACGAAGCGUGAGUGACGGUAAUGGGUAAAGAAGCACCGGCUAACUACGUG
rnacentral:rRNA from 1 species